CGUUCCUCACGGCACGUUCAGAGGCCAUCCCCACGAUCCAAUUCUCCUCGCAUAGCCGCCGCCGCACAUCCCGCCCGUAGAUGGCUAGGCGGUGCGCCAUUCGGAUCAUGCCCGCGCGACGGACCCGAUGCAAGCGAGAAGCAGCAAUCCGGUAUCUUGGUGUCGCUCCUACCGUCAAUGUUCCGGCCGGCCGACAGUACUGCAGGUCAUACAUCGCGGCGCGCCGAAGCCGCGGCUGCCCCACCGCCCCCAAUCCGCCGCCAGGGAUAGAGGAUCUCUCUCCACCGUACGUCGGAUACCCUACUGCCUGAGUCAGCGUCGCCGACGACCUUCCCUCCCACUAUAGGAAAAAAAGAAUACUCAUGUGUUGGGUUGUGCUCACACUUGCCAUCCUCUCAUAUCGAAAGAUGAACAACGACUUCCGGGCCUGCAGCAUGUCGCAUGCGUCUUCGACAUCAUUGAGGAUUUCUGCAUCGGCAAAUUGGAAGACUGACAUGGAAUAGGAGAGGACGUAAAAGCUCCCAAGUGUGAACCCAUGUGCUCGUCUGCAAUUCCUUGAGUCUUUGUUCGGUUUGAGGUGGAUUUGAAGGGGAUUGGCAGGGAUUGUGGUGGAUUAAAUCCCCUCCAAUCCUCUCCAAUCCCCUUGGGAGGAUGAUUAACUGAACAAGGCCUAAAGAUGAUGAGAACGAACAAAACCAUUUUGUAAUUGUGAUGAGGACUGCUCCAAUGCCCAGCUUUGUGGUUCUGAUCACAUGUUUGACCUCCUGGUUACUCUGGUACAUGGUCUCCACCACCCAUCGUCUACAUAUCGCCUCGCCGGAUCGCCAGACAGCACCGUCGUCUACGUUGACAGGCACUGUCCUCGACCUCUGCAUCACAGUUAAUUGUGUACUAGUAAUUCCUUUGGAGAACUUGUUACAGUUAUUCUAACUCCGCCAUGUAUCCAUGACCUUGUUAGAUUCUGAAUAUGUAAUUUUCCAGAUAU